GAUUCGGUUGGUACAUCAUUAUAGUUCGGUCGGCACAGUUCCCUCAGAAGUCGGCCCAGGACGCACAUUCCCCCAGGGCGUGAGUCGUGACGUUGCCCACAUACGUGAGGCCGACAACGGCAAGCCCUAUCACCACCACCACCACCUGGUACAUCAUUACCAUACUAUCGGUUUGAAUCGGCGGACAAGCAACUACUAACCACGCGGGAGGAGGUUCGCCAGCUGCCACUAGCGCACCUGAGCCCGAUGAAUGCACCUCUUAGCCAGCCAGACACCAGCUGCACAGCAGAACCAGUUUAAAGCGAACCAACGGAGAGGAAUGCCACAGCUCUCCAUGGCACGGCCUCAGCCCACACCACAGGGCCAAAUGAGACCAUCCGCACGGCCCUACCCAGUGCAGGAGUAUCCAGUGGGUCAACUGGGAACCAUUGGACAAUUACCGAUACCACAAGCUUACUCCAGGCCACUAUCGUCCCUCACUCCACGGCCACGUCCUCCUAGGAAUCCUGCCACGAAAACUUUUUACAGAGUCAAGUACGCCCGUGCACAUUCAAUCCACACCUAGAACGGGGACUUUGUGAACGGCUGAAUACGUCAACCAUAGUCGCUGAAACGAACAUGAACCGGACUGCAAUUGACAAUAUAAUAACGCUAACAUUCA